rnacentral:rRNA from 1 species
UGAGGAAUAUUGCGCAAUGGGGGCAACCCUGACGCAGCGACGCCGCGUGAGUGAGGAAGGCCUUCGGGUCGUAAAGCUCUGUCAAAGGGAAAGAAGUGCAUGGUGGCUAAUACCUGCCAUGUUUGACGGUACCCUUAAAGGAAGCACCGGCUAACUCCGUGCCAGCAGCAGCGGUAAGACGGCGGGUGCAAGCGUUGUUCGGAAUCACUGGGCGUAAAGGGCGCGUAGGCGGUUGUAUAAGUCAGAUGUGAAAGCCCACGGCUUAACUGGGGAAGUGCAUUUGAAACUGUCAGACUUGAGUAUCAGAGGGGAAAGUGGAAUUCCCGGUGUAGAGGUGAAAUGCGUAGAUAUUAGGAGGAACACCAGUGGCGAAGGCGACUUUCUGGACUGUACCUGACGCUGAGGCGCGAAAGCGUGGGGAGCGAACA